CGAGACGCGUGAGUGCUCUGCUCACGUCACAGCACCACCACCUCAACCACUCUGCCUUCCCUUAAGAUCCCUCUCCGAGCCUCCCUGGGAACCCUAGCUGCUCCCAACCCUCCUCGCGCCGCCAGUCUCCGCUCUUGCUUCUCUGUUUUCUUUAUCCCACGAGAACGACCAAGAACGCCUCAGGUCGCCGACGCCCCGUCGCCACGGACCAUCCCGUGCCUCGCCGAAACUACCAGGAGCUCCACCUUGUAGCCAGGAUCGUCGUCGUCCACGGAAUCAAGCCGGGAAUCCCUGAAUCGACGCCAACGACCCAUUCUCUUCUCCAACCCCGGCGGAAAAUUCGUCGAUUUCGCCGCCGUCCGGCCACCUCCGUACUUCCCGAUGUGUUCUAUCACUUCCUGGUGAGUUCCUCCUCCGUUUUGAUCAAGAUCAAGAUGUAUCCAACCUUUUUCUGUUGCCCUCCAAAACUGAUGAAACUGUCGACUAUUUCUGACCGAGGCACCUCCGCCAUGGUGGACAGAAAACCUCCGUGCCUGCUGGUGCUCAUCUCCAUCGUCCUCCGCCUCGUUCUGCUCACCACCAACCUCUCGUAUUUGCUUCUUCCCGGAUAGGAUCACAAAGUGGUGAUGUGAGAUACGACAAGUUCUUCUGCAGCUUUUCACAGGCGAGCCCUCUCUCUUCACCUAUUUUACUCUCUCCCUCGCACUGCUAUUCUUAUGUUGCGAUUCUUUCUCGAGUCACGUGUCCUAUUCCACUUGUUUACCAUAAUAAUCCUAUAUGUAUCAUUCCUUACCCAUAGCCGUUGCUUGAUGUUUGAGCCUUGCGAGUCGUAGGCGUGUUUAGACUCUGUUGUUUAUCUCGAUCUGUUAUCGGGAUAUGUUGGGUUGUUGGUAGGUUAUCACAUGCUAUAUCAGUUGUUGGAGAUACACAUGAUUUACUUAUUUGUUAACAACUAAAAUUGUAAGCAGAGGCAUCUGUGAGCCCCUUUGCGAAAGCAUCGGAACUUUGACUUGCUAAUGUCCCCUAGGACCCGAGUUCUUGUUAUCUGUUCCGAGAUUGAGCGCUCUACCCGUACGUGGGGGAGUGGGACCCCAAUUACCCACUACCUUUCCUCGAGUCUGUUUAUUGGGAGCCACAACCUUGGUUUUAUUUGCUCAUAUGCAAGAUAUGCACGAUUUACUUCAUGUUGCCUUCGGGUGUUUAUAUUAUGUACUGUACUCAUAACGCGGGACUCCUUAUCCUUGGCCGGUCGUUAGUGCCCGCCUUGGAAGCCGUCGCAAACCUCUGGGUCCGUAUCGGAGUACGGCCGAACUUCGUCAUGGGUAGCUUAGUUGGGUGGCUUCCAUUAAACUUUCUCUUGCAUUGUGAACGGUCUUGAUGUGAGACUCCACCUGUAGUAACUGGGUUCGAGCAUGCGUAUGGUUACAUUUGGGAAACCCCUGCAGGGUGUACAUCUUAUCGAUAAGCCGUGUCCGCGGUUAUGGACGACUUGGAAUUGUAUGACUUGAUCAUAGAACAACUUACAUCUUUAUGUUGCUGCUAAUAACUUGAUAAUAACUUACGUAGUAAUAUAGCAUUACUACAACGGCUACCUAAUAAAACUUGUCCACCGUUGAGUGCCUUUUACAUUGCCUCUUCGCUUUGUUGGAGGGGAUAUGUGUAAUCGGCUGGGUUAUGUUUGUGUAGUAUUUUUAUCUGUUACCUUGUGCGCUCUCUUAUCUUAUCUGAUUAGACGGAUGUUGUAGUGUGUCUCUAUUGGUUACAGUUUUGCUGCCGCUAAACCUGCCAUAUAGCCCCCGGCGAUAUAUAUAUAUACUCGCCCACCGAGCAUAGCCAUUUCCAGUCUCGCUAAGUACGUGUCGGAGUUCGUUCCUUGCUACUUACUCUCGCCUUUUCCCUUUCUCUUUUGCAUCCUCCCUUUUGUCGGCAACCGAUGGCCCGACUUUGACAGGUACAAGAUGACGACGUUAGCAAGGUUACCCUUCCGGCUUGGCAUGGGUAGGGUUAUGGACGCCACUGGUUAUCUUCAGGACUCUUAGUCCAAUUUGUAUCUUGUCCGUACUUGGACGUAUUCGAUCUUCUGUAUGAUUUGUAUCUUUGUAUUGUAUAUUUGUAUCUUGACUCUUUGGAGUCGUUUUUGUAAUAUAUGUAUCUUGUGGGCUCUAUUGUAAACCUGUUGUAAUGUUA